rnacentral:piRNA from 1 species
AGCCAGAGACCAUUAAUCACUCAGUGCUGA